CUUUUGCAAAACUGGUUUCAUCUGUUGUUGGAGAAGGGGCCUUACGUUCUAUAUGCAUAAUAAGCAGCGCUAAUAUGUCGCGGGGCACUGAACGAAGAUAGGGGGUAUUCGCAUUGAUGCCAAGAUUUCAGACUUCGAGUUCAUAGAACUGGGUUCCUAGGCCUAGACCCUAGGCUUGAGAGUUACAUUUUUAAGAAAUUCGCAAACACAUGGCCCUAUAUCCCUCACUCAGUUAUGCAA